rnacentral:rRNA from 1 species
AUUGAACGCUAGCGGGCUGCUUUACACAUGCAAGUCGAACGAGUGGCGGACGGGUGAGUAAUAUAUCGGAACGUGCCCAAUAGCGGGGGAUAACUACUCGAAACAGUGGCUAAUACCGCCUACUAUUAGAGCUGCCGAUAUUGGAUUAGCUAGUUGGUGGGGUAAAGGCUCACCAAGGCAACGAUCCCUAGCUGGUUUGAGAGGAGGACCAGCCACACUGGGACUGAGACACGGUCCAGACUCCUACGGGAGGCAGCAGUGGGGAAUUGUGGACAAUGGGGGCAAGCCUGAUCCAGCCAUCCCGCGUGUAUGAGAAGGCCUUCGGGUUGUAAAGUACUUUUGGCAGAGAAGCGGUAUCUGCAGAAUAAGCACCGGCUAACUACGUGCCAGCCGCCGCGGUAAUAC